rnacentral:misc_RNA from 1 species
GGUUUCUCUGCAAUCAUCCUUGUCGUCUUUGUACCAAACCCAAACAGCUCCUUUACUUCUUUUCGCUGAAAACCCAGAAUGGUAUCAGAGCCAGGAAAAAAGAAAGUAUAAGAACUGUAACAAGUGAAAACCUAGACCUAGAGGAUAACCAGAACCAUACAAGGAAGCUCCUUUUAGCUAAGUACUUCGAGAACCCGUUAAAAGCGUAAGCAAAUUCAAGGUAUUUAGGACCUAAAAUUGAAGAUGCUUACAGU